rnacentral:lncRNA from 1 species
UACACACAUACACUAUGCUCAAACAUCAAAAUUGCUCAAUGACCAAAAAAAGCAGCCACAAUCCAUUGUGGCCAGUUCCGAGUGGCCAAGCACUGAUACUCAACAUUAUUUUGCUUCAUGGCCAUUGUGAGGCAACCACAACAUGUUGUAGGCCACCAAAACCGAUACAUGUUUUGAGCGUUUUGAGUGACCACGGACCGUUCCGAAACGGAUCUGGGCAUAUGUUUACAGUAGUUACGCUAUGGUAAGCAUCACAACUCUUCUCUGGUUCCCAACAAGAUUUCAUCAUGUGCCACUGCAUAUGUUGUUGUAACAAUAAUAAGCACAAGUGUCAAUAUCAAAAAGUUCUGUGCAGUUCAAAAUGUCAUAAUAACAGUCAGUACCU